CCUUUAAUUUCUUUGUUUAACGUUCACUUUCUGAUUAAAAUAUAAUCGUCAGAGAAAAUAGUUACCUAAUGACGCACACUUUUUAUCUGUGGUAUAUUUCCGUGGAAUACCACUAUAUCCUUUAAAGUGGCCAGCCACAUUUCGCUUUGUUUAAAACGAAAUUAAUAUUUAAAACAAUGACCAUCUGGACGAUAUUUUUUUUUUGUGUUCAACUUUUUUCAUUUAUAUUUUGCGAAUAUAAAGAUUCAGAAAUCCUUUGUGCAUCUCAACAAUCUUGCAAAAAUUGCUUGCAAACCCCGCGAUGUGUUUGGUGUUCUACUCCGGUCUCUAAUCAAAGUGUGAACAAUCCACUGGUUCGCUGUAUCACCAGAGAAAAAUUUUCAAACGAAGGUGAUCAUUGGUGUCGAACGUCGGACGUGGUAAUUGAGACGAAUAAGAUGUUGAUUCUCGAAAAUCGUCCACUGUCCUCAACGAAAGGCACGGAUCCUGUUCAAAUUCAACCUCAAAAAAUUGAUUUGAGACUCAGGCGAGGCGAGGAAUAUCGAUUGACUUUAAAAUACAGUCAAGCAGAGGAUUAUCCGGUCGAUUUGUAUUAUCUGAUGGAUUUAUCAAAGUCCAUGGAAGAUUACAGGGAUCAAUUAUCAAAAUUGGGAUUUCAAUUGGCCGAAGCUAUGCGAAACUUGACUUCAAAUUUUCGCCUAGGAUUUGGUAGUUUCGUGGAUAAAGUUGUACUACCUAUGACCAGUACGCAACCGGACAAAUUGAGAUCACCAUGUAACUUAGAUAAAACUAAGAAACCAUGCGCACCACCAUAUGGAUACAAGAAUCAGAUGCCUCUUACCGAAAACAUUGCUCUUUUUAAAACGCGCGUACAAGAAGCUCCGGUGUCUGGUAAUUUGGAUUCACCCGAGGGUGGACUUGACGCGAUGAUGCAAGCGAUGGUUUGCACCAAGGAAAUUGGCUGGCGGCAGAAUGCUCGGCAUUUUAUCGUUUUCUCAACAGACGCUAAUUUUCACAUCGCUGGAGAUGGCAGACUUGCGGGAAUCAUCGAGCCCAAUGAUUGUCUCUGCCAUUUGGACUCAGAAGGAUUCUACACGUACUCGCUUCUUCAAGAUUAUCCAUCUAUAUCUCAGAUCAACAAAGUAGCUCGUGAGAACAACAUGAACAUCAUAUUUGCGGUUACGAGCAAUCGAAACGAGACGUAUCAAUUAUUGAGUAAAAGUAUCAGAGGCUCUUCUAUCGGAACGAUAGAAAGGAAUUCUAAAAAUGUAGUUGCUCUUGUCAGUGGAGAAUACGAGAAAUUGGUGAACACCAUAAUAAUGACGGACGACGCGCCAAAAAUGAUCGAUGUGAAAUAUUUCUCACGAUGUUUGGAUAAAAAUGGUGAAUUAAAAGAACGACAAGAAUGCGGAGGAUUACGAGUGGGGAAUAUGGUGGAAUUUGAAGUAACGUUACAGGCGAUCGAAUGUCCAAAGGAUUCCAACGAAUGGCAGACAAGUAUGCACAUUAAACCCAGGGGUAUAAACGAAAGUCUGACGAUCAAUCUGAGCGUUGCAUGCGAUUGUCCUUGCGAACGGCCAGGACAUCCGGGAUACACGCCAGCUUCGGAAAAUUGCAGAGGGAACGGUACUCUGGUUUGCGGUAUAUGCUCUUGCGAUGAUGGCUUUUAUGGGAAGCAGUGCGAAUGCGAAGGAAACGAUGGCAGAGCGGAGAGUGCAGCUGCUAUGGCUGAUUGCAAGCCUAACAACGAGACCACUGAAAUUUGUAGCGAUCAUGGAGUUUGCAAGUGCGGUGUAUGCGAGUGCGUGAAACGUCCAAAUCCGCAAGAAGUUUUCUACGGGAAAUAUUGCGAAUGCGAUAAUUUCUCUUGCAAACGCAAAGAGGGAUUAGUUUGCGGCGGGCGAGGGAAGUGUGAAUGUGGUACUUGCAAUUGCUUCCCGGGAUGGGGUGGCGAGAUGUGCGAUUGCAAAGAAACGAAUAGCACAUGCAUCUCGAGCAACAGCGAAACUAUGGAGAUUUGUAGCGGACAUGGCGAUUGCAUUUGCGGUAGCUGUUAUUGUCAUGAAAAAGACAAUAUUCGAUAUUCCGGGCAGUAUUGCGAAGAGUGUCCCAUAUGUCCUGAUCAACGAUGCGAGCAAUUGAAGAAUUGCGUCGAAUGUGUGGUGCACAAAUCCGGUCCUCUUGCUAGAAGUGAAAAAUGUGACGAAUGCAUGCAUCAAAUAGAUAUUGUAGAUAAGAUCGUAGAAGAUUCAGGAAAAGAUCAAGGAAACGGAGCUCGUAUUUGUCGAACUCCUGGGGAUGGUGGAUGCACGUUUGUGUUCAAAUACGAAUAUUACAGAGACGGUACUGGAGGAGAUAUUAAGAUAUUCAAGAUCCUAGCUGAAAGAGAGAAGUCAUGUCCUGUACCUAUUAACGUUCUUGGUGUUGCUGUGGGAUUAAUAAUUAGUACUGUAAUUAUCGGUUUUAUGAUUCUUCUUACUUGGAAGAUAUUAACAAUGAUUCGCGAUAAUCGCGAAUUUAAAAAAUUCGAGCGUGAACGAAUUUUGGCUAAUAAAUGGAAUAGGAGGGAUAAUCCGCUUUAUAAGGAAGCUACAUCUACAUUCAAGAAUCCGACAUUCAACAUGAAUACGAUCAGAUAAAAUUUAUUUUCAUAAAACGAGCGCGCGAAAUAUUUCCAUGGAAAUAAGCCUAUUUUAUUAAAUGGUAGACGCUCCGAUAGGUAGCGCCACCAUAUUCAAAUUGAGAGUGACGACGCCAUGUUGGUUAAAUUUGUGAGAAGCUUUGUGAGAAGACAGUUUCUAGUCGAAGAGAUAAAACAUUUAUUCUUUCAAUCUUCUGGAAAACAACCUCUGUCUACUUUUAUUCCUGCAUUCCUUUCUUUUCGAGAGCAGUUUCACGAUCGAUACCAAGGAUCGUUUGGAUACAUUGAAAGCAUCGAUCGGAUACAUUGAAUCCUGACUGUAUAUAAUCUCAAGAUCAUUUUGGAGGAAAAAAAGUUGAAAGGAGCAUUUUAGUUGAAAGAAGCAGAAGGAUUUUAACGCUCGAUGAUCCGAUUUAAUGGGAAAAUGAGAAUCGUCGAAUCCUUUCCGCCGAUUUAAUAUCCUGUUGUAAAGUAUUUUUUAAACUCGUUGGCAACGUAUUGGCACGUUUCGAUCUUACGAUUAGCGCGAUCCUAACGACUCUGCUAACUAAUAAACGAGAUAGCGAACUGUUUCGUAUCGAUUAUAUCGAGGAUAUCGGUUCGAAUCUUAUGGAAUCUGGUGCGCUCUUAGAGGCUGUAUAACUCGUAUAUACAACCGGAUAAUUAAUGGAGCCGGUAAUGAGCUGAUUAUUAUUAAUAAUAUUUAGUCGAGGUUAAGCCGAGGCGACCCCGCCGUGCUGGAGCCCGGCUGCUCGUUAAUUGAAUCUGCCAAUCAUCGUAAUGAGCGUCAGCGCCGGAUCUGCUGUCCGUUCUUCGUUGUUGCUCUUUAGGGCCUGAAAGCUUGAUGCUCGUUGCUUUCGAAAAACGAAAUACGCGUGUUGCACUCUGCAACCCUAUCCUAAGAAAUGUGAGCAAUUUUCUUCACCGACCGCCUUUCGAGAACUUGAUCGAUAUCGCGAACCCUGUCUAGAACCUUCUUGUAAUUGUUGUUAUUCGUUUACAUUAAUUACACGCGCGUCAACCAAACUUUUACUUAACGUGGAUCGAACCAUCGAAUUGUUUAUAGAUAAAUACAAAUAAUUGCGAAUCAA